GUCAUAGAUCGAGCCACUCCAUCACCACAUGUGCCAUUUGAAUCCGAAGAAGAUCAAAAGAAAAGUUCAUAUGCGAGCACAACAAUAGAAAAUUGUUCUGCUUCGGAGCAGCAACAUCAUCGCGUUUCGACGUCGUCACUGCGUCUUCAUCCAUUCCAACGUCGCGUGGAUUCAACAUCUUCACGUCUCCGACCUUCAAGAAUGGCGUUGCGGAACAUUGCGUUUCGAUUCAUCGUUGCUCAAGUUCGAUGCCUCGCUGUCGAGAUAUAAAAUUGACAGAAAAACAUGAAGAAUAGCUAGCUUAGCUUAAAGUGCUUACCGAAUCAGCGUCGGCUUCACUGGUGGUGGGGUACAGAGUUCUCUGUACUGCAGCCAUUUAUGCCGUCUAGAGCAAUGAUAAGCAUGGAAGACAAUGGGCUAUUGGCGGGAAAAGCGAUUUCGGACAACGAAUUAGCGAGGUCUUUAAAGGCAUUACUACAUAUUAUAUUGCUACCAAGGUUAGCAUACAUAUCAACCAUAAGUGUCUUUGGCCGGAAAAAUUCGACAAGGGCCUCCUUGGCUACCUUUUGCUACUGCUAUGAACCCCAUACCUGCUUUGUGUAAGCCUCAAAAUGACGCAAGAAAAAUGCUUCUAGCUGCAAUUUGAAUUCGGUACAAAGAUGAUGAUAUAAAUUGAGGAUAAUGCUACACACCAUUAGAAGUAUGAGUGGACUUAUUGACAAACCAAAUUAUAUCAGAUUAUGAAACAACUCACCUUGAAUUAAGCUUAGAAGCUUUUACGACGGUGGAUAGAAGGCCCUCCAAGUUCUAUAGUCGCAUUGAUUAAAGUUAAGCGAAAAAGGGAUUCUUCAUCAAAUGCAAUAGUGUUUGAUCCAGGACUCAAUUCUGUAUUCUCAACAACAUUCAGCAAAGGACACCAUAAAGUGAACUAUUUGUCACCAUGCGAUGGAACACCAUACUGUUCAGUCAUGAGAUGCACAUCACAUGACGCACCAUCCUCGCCAGUAAGAGCUAACGCCGUAUUAUCAUCCAUCAUACUCACUGUCACACACCACUUGCAGCAUUUGAAGCAAAGUUUGUGGGUUGCAGCUGAUUAUCGUAUUCAGAACUCAUGCUGCCAUUCUCCACCUUUCCACUUCCGAAAGUGUACUCGUUAUUAGAGCUUCCAUUAACCAAUGCAUGGUCUGUGUUGGAUUAUGCAGGUUUACAGUUGUUUAGGAGCUUGACUUAAAGAUGGAGUUGGUGUUAGUGAAUGAAAGUGCAGGCGGCAUGCUACUGUUACUACAUACGCUUUGGAUUAGACUGUUUUAGGUAGGUAAAUUUCAUGUUCUUUUUGCUCUGCUAGGAUCAUUUGUUGUGAAAGAAGUCAAAUUAAAAUGCUGGCUGAAGGAAAAUGUAGUGAUUAGUUGAAAAUUAAUUAGUUAAGAAAGAAAGAUUAGAUGACUAAUUUGCUAAUUAUGGAUAUAACUGCUAUGUCCCAGGUUAUUUACUGAAGCAUUAUGCUAGGCCCGAUGUUAGAUUUUAGGAAUGUUUUGCAUGAUUAAUUUAAGGUGUUUCCGGUGGUGCUGUUAUGAAUUAAGCAGGACUGUUAUGAUACUGAUUAUCAGGAUGCAUUGCGUUUGAAAUAUUUUACUUAAUGCAAUUGUAAACUAGUCCCUAUUAUGCUAUUGUUGUUAGAUUAUGAGCUAUUGUAAUUCCUGCCAACCUUGUUUUUUUCCCUAUGGUCACUGCUACUGAUUAUACCCUGCUGAUCGAGUUCUGACUUGAUGCAAGAUAUUGGUGGGUGGAUAAAUCAUUUUGGCUAGCUUAAGGACUUCCCAUACAGGAAGUUGAAGGAAAUUGAAGUGGUUGUAAAAUUAGAAAUUAGGCUUUGAAAAUUCAAAAUGUUAGAAGUUUGAUUUAUAAAUUGAAUUGAUGUAUUUUUUGAGCAAGUUAUGAAUGUAAAAUUGUUUGAAUGGAACAUGGGUUAAUUUGGAAAUUGAAUUUGGCUUAGGUUUCAACAUUUAUAUUUGUAAAAUGUGCAUGAAUUUAUUGUAAUAAACUUGUAUGGAAAUCUA